rnacentral:misc_RNA from 1 species
AAGUCGUAACAAGGUAACCGUAGGUGAACCUGCGGUUGGAUCAUUAAAAAAAUCCAAAUAGCCUGUCAGCGGCGCCCGCCGCUGGCUUCAUGGCACCACCUUUUGUGAACCGUUCUGUCUUUGGUGGUGGGGUGAAACGCCCUUCUUCGGGCCUUUGCCUGUCAGCUGUGACUUGAAAAAAAAAAGUCCUCCAGCCGUGGACAAGCCACCGACCAUGUGUUUCAACCUAUGUUUAUUUUUUUCUGUCUCACAUUUUCACUUUGUAUUUUAAUGUACAAACAACUUUUGGCAACGGAUCUCUUGGGUCUC